rfam:Populus trichocarpa isolate Nisqually-1 chromosome 13, whole genome shotgun sequence.
UUUAGAACUUGAGAUAUGGGUUGAACACUGAACAGUGUUUGGGUUGCAGGACAGAUUCAGACUUCUUCGUUGUUGCUACAAUUUAGACUUGAAAACAGGCUUGUUAAAUCUUGGACUCCUCAUGAAAGUUGUAGGCCUAUGUCUUACCUUUCCAUC